rnacentral:rRNA from 1 species
UAGAGGGGAGCCGGAGGGAAACCGAGUCUUAAUUGGGCGUUAAGUUGCAGGGUAUAGACCCGAAACCCGGUGAUCUAGCCAUGGGCAGGUUGAAGGUUGGGUAACACUAACUGGAGGACCGAACCGACUAAUGUUGAAAAAUUAGCGGAUGACCUGUGGCUGGGGGUGAAAGGCCAAUCAAACCGGGAGAUAGCUGGUUCUCCCCGAAAGCUAUUUAGGUAGCGCCUCGUGAAUUCAUCUCCGGGGGUAGAGCACUGUUUCGGCUAGGGGGCCAUCCCGGCUUACCAACCCGAUGCAAACUGCGAAUACCGGAGAAUGUUAUCACGGGAGACACACGGCGGGUGCUAACGUCCGUCGUGAAGAGGGAAACAACCCAGACCGCCAGCUAAGGUCCCAAAGUCAUGGUUAAGUGGGAAACGAUGUGGGAAGGCCCAGACAGCCAGGAUGUUGGCUUAGAAGCAGCCAUCAUUUAAAGAAAGCGUAAUAGCUCACUGGUCGAGUCGGCCUGCGCGGAAGAUGUAACGGGGCUAAACCAUGCACCGAAGCUGCGGCAGCGACGUUUAUGCGUUGUUGGGUAGGGGAGCGUUCUGUAAGCCUGCGAAGGUGGCCUGUGAGGGUUGCUGGAGGUAUCAGAAGUGCGAAUGCUGACAUAAGUAACGAUAAAGCGGGUGAAAAGCCCGCUCGCCGGAAGACCAAGGGUUCCUGUCCAACGUUAAUCGG